CCUACGGGUGGCUGCAGUGGGGAAUUUUGGACAAUGGGCGCAAGCCUGAUGCAGCUAUUCCGCGUGUGGGAAGACGGCCUUCGGGUUGUAAACCACUUUUGGAGAGAACGAAAAGUCCGUUGCUAAUACCGGUAGCUGAUGACGGCUCUCUAAGAGUAAGCACCGGCUAACUACGUGCCAGCAGCCGCGGUAAUACGUAGGGUGCGAGCGUUAAUCGGAAUUACUGGGCGUAAGGGGUGUGCAGGCGGUUUUGCAAGAUGGAUGGAAAGGCCGCGGGCUAAACCUGGGAAAGCCAUACAUGACUGCAAGACUAGAGUGCGUCAGAGGGAGUGGAAUUCCAAGUGUAGCAGUGAAAUGCGUAGAUAUUUGGAAGAACACCGAUGGCGAAGGCAGCCCCCUGGGACGCAACUGACGCUCAUACACGAAAGCGUGGGGAGCAAACAGGAUUAGAUACCCGAGUAGUC
rnacentral:rRNA from 1 species